ACACCACAACAAAAUGGUGUAUCGGAGAGGAAAAACAGAACCAUUCUUAAUAUGGUUAGAAGCUUGUUAGCAAGGGGAAGAGUUCCAAAAGUCUUUUGGCCUGAAGCUGUAAAAUGGAGUGUUCACAUCUUAAAUAGAAGUCCUACAUUUGCUAUCCAAAAUUUGACACUGGAGGAGGCUUGGAGUGGGCCAAAACCUGCUGUAGAUUACUUUCGAAUUUUUUGGUUGUAUUGCUUUUGCACGUGUUCCAGAUGAGAAAAGAAAGAAACUUGACGAUAGGAGUGAAAAAUGUGUGUUUCUUGGUGUUAGUGACACAUCUAAAGCAUACAAGUUGUUCAACCCGUUGACAGAAAAGAUAGUGACCAGCAGAGACGUUUUUGACGAAGAAAAUACUUGGGAUUGGAGGGGGCAGCAGCCAACUCCAAUUAUUUUUGACA
rnacentral:misc_RNA from 1 species